rnacentral:rRNA from 1 species
CAGUCGCCGCGGGAAUACGAAGGGGGCUAGCGUUGCUCGGAAUGACUGGGCGUAAAGGGCGCGUAGGCGGAUGGCUUUGUCAGAUGUGAAAUUCCAGGGCUUAACCUUGGGGCUGCAUUUGAGACGGGUUGUCUAGAGUGGAGAAGAGGGUCGUGGAAUUCCCAGUGUAGAGGUGAAAUUCGUAGAUAUUGGGAAGAACACCGGUGGCGAAGGCGGCGACCUGGUCUUUUACUGACGCUGAGGCGCGAAAGCGUGGGGAGCAAACAGGAUUAGAUACCCGGGUAGUCCCUGUCUCUUAUAC